rnacentral:lncRNA from 1 species
GUAAUUUUACAGACUAGAGACAUGGCCCCAUCAGCACAGAAGCCCAGUGGCUUCUCCCACGGGGCCAGCCUUGCUGAUCUUAGAAGAACACCCCGUGCCCUUUCCCUAUGUCUGCUGUGUCUGUUACAGAUUUUAUGUAACCACGUUGUCUUUCAAGCUAACUGAUGACCUGGUGCAGAGAAGUUUCUCCAGGAUGCCAUAAAGGAUCUUAAACACCAGCAGUUGUCAGCUGUCUGGAAGGUUCCAGCUGUCUCCAGCUCUAACUGCUGUCUCUAGAGCUGUCUCCAGCUCUAACCACGGGCCCCUGCCCAGCUCAGCCAAUGCAGAAGUAGAAAUAAGGCCAAUGAUGAGGAUGAUGAUGAGAGACACCCCUUACUCAGUCCUUACAAGGUGCCAAGCCCAGGGCUGAGACCUGACCCAUGUUUCUGAUUUCAUAGCAACCUGGCAGGCCCAGCAUGGUCCUCCCUGUGUGGGAGAUGACUGAGGCCCCCCAGGGGCUGUGUAAGUACACAGGCAAACCAGACCCCAUCUGUCCUGUUGGAGGUCAGGAUGGAGGUUCCUUGGCCGGGUGACCAAAGCACCUGGGGGCUUGCAGGUGCUGUUCAUGCACCUGCUUGCAGCUGUUUGCCUCCUGAUCCAGGCCCUGGUUACCCAGGUGCAAAAUUACCAAAAUGUUUUUUUUCUCAUAUAUACUUGGCCUUUGUCCACAGUUCCUGGCUCAGAGCACCCCAAACUCUUAGAAUCUUCUUUCUUUCUCUUUUUCUCUUCCUUUCUUUCUUAAAAAGAUUUAUUUAUUUGAGAGAGAGGGGAAAGAGACUCACCCAGAUUGCCUGCUGAGCAUGGAGCCUGCCGUGGGGCUCGAGCCCAUGACCCUGAGAUCAUAACCUGAGCUGAAAUCAAAAGUCAGAUGCUCAACCAACUGAGCCUCCCAGGCACUCCCAAACCGUUGGAAUUUCCUGAGCAAUGGGAACAUCUUUUGUUCUAAUAUUUGGUCUCUUGUCCUCAGUGCCUGAAAUCAUUCAAGAGCCAUUUACAGUGAAAUGAGUGUCUUGUUUCUACCAUAACUAGGUUCAGGUGAAUGAAGUGACUUUGAAAAGCAGGUAAGGAUGGGGGCUGGUUGCCAGGGGAAACAACCUGGAAUAAAGGGUUGGAACUUUCAGCUCCUCCCCUUGACCUUCAGGGAGGGAAGAAAAGGCUGGAGGCUGAAUCAAUCACCAAUAGCCCAUGAUUUAAUCAAUCAGGUCUAUGUAAUGAAGCUUCCAUAAAAACUCUAUGAAGGAAGUUCAUAGAGCUUCCAGUUCGUGAACACACAGAGAUUCAGGGAGAGUGGCACUCCCAGAGGGUAUGGAAGCUCUGUGCCCCUUGCCCCGUGCAUCGCCCCUACUUGGCUGUUCCUGAGUUAUAUCCUUUCAGAAUAAGCCAGGAUUUUAAUGAGUAAACUGGUUUCCUGAGUUCUGUGAGCCACUCCAACAAAUUAAUUGAACCCAAGGGGAAGUCACAGGAACCUCUGAUUUAUAGCCAGUUGGUCAGGAGCACAGGUAACAAGCUAAGCUUGCGACUGGUGUCUGAAGUGUGUUGGUGGGGGGAGGUGGGCAGCCUUGUAGGACUGAGCACUUGACCUGUGGGAUCUGAGGCUAUCUCCAGGUAGAGAGCAUCAGAAUUGAGUUCAAUUGUAGGACACACAGCUGGUGUUGGAGAAUGGCUCAGUGGUGUGGGAACUCACCCCCUCUGCACACAUGUUGGAAUUGGGUACCAAAAACUCUACUGGGGGCCCAGGUGUGAACACCCACCCUGCCACACACUUAGGACAUGAACACUUUCAGUAUAUGUGCUGUUUUAUUAAAAAGUUGGAAAAAUAUAAUAUGAAAUGGAGAAGGUAGGGGAAUAGAUAAGAUUAGCAGUGGGCUGAUAAUUGUUGACU